UACGUAGGGGGCUAGCGUUGUCCAGAAUCAUUGGGCGUAAAGCGCGCGUAGGCGGCCCGGUAAGUCCGUUGUAAAAGUCGAAGGCUCAACCUUCGAAAGCCGAUGGAUACUGCCGGGCUAGAGUCCGGAAGAGGCGAGUGGAAUUCCUGGUGUAGCGGUGAAAUGCGCAGAUAUCAGGAAGAACACCUAUGGCGAAGGCAGCUCUCUGGGACGGUACUGACGCUGAGACGCGAAAGCGUGGGGAGCGAACAGG
rnacentral:rRNA from 1 species